GCAGCAGUGGUUCAGUGGUGGAAUUCUCGCCUUCCAUGUGGGAGACCCAGGUUCGAUUCCCAGCCAAUGCA
rnacentral:tRNA from 1 species